rnacentral:tRNA from 1 species
GGGCGAUUAGUUUAGUGGUAGAACAUCGGUCUCCAAAACCGAUGGCGGGAGUUCGAUUCUCUCAUCGCCUG